UGGGGAAUAUUGCACAAUGGGGGAAACCCUGAUGCAGCGACGCCGCGUGAACGAAGAAGGUAUUCGUAUCGUAAAGUUCUGUCCUAUGGGAAGAUAAUGACAGUACCAUAGAAGAAAGCUCCGGCUAAAUACGUGCCAGCAGCCGCGGUAAUACGUAUGGAGCGAGCGUUGUCCGGAAUUAUUGGGCGUAAAGGGUACGCAGGCGGUUUAAUAAGUCGAAUGUUAAAGAUCGGGGCUCAACCCCGCAAAGCAUUGGAAACUGAUAAUCUUGAGUAGUGGAGAGGAAAGUGGAGUUUCUAGGGUGGGGGUGAAAAACGUAAAGAUAAGGAGGAAUACCAGUAGCGAGGGCGACUUUCUGGACACAAACUGACGCUGAGGUACGAAAGCGUGGGGAGCAAACAGG
rnacentral:rRNA from 1 species